GAUAUGACAGAACAUUGAGAGCUAGGUAGGGGGGUAGAUAUGAGUAUGUGAAUUGGGAUGAAUCGAAAUAUCCAAAUAGAGAUGCCAAAGGGAAUGUCCCUAAAACUAGAGGGGCCUAUCCUUAAUUAAUUGACAAUAGGUGCCUACGUGGCAAGCCAUGUUAAUAUGGCCCCCCUCUCCCACCUUUUCUUCUCUUACAACUAACUCCACUUUGAUUUUUCAUUCAACACACAUAUUUCAACUUCAAUCAAAUUAAAACCUCCCAAGAAAAUGAAGAUCUUCAACUGGGUUCACCGCCGGUUUGUUCAUAAAGAUGGAUUGGGAGAAAACGGGAAGAAGAUUGAGGGUGAUGAUGAAGGAAACUUUGUGGUGGAUGAUCAUGAAAACAAGAAUGGGACGUUUUGUGGUUGGAAAGGAGGUAUUUUAACCAUUGGAACCUUUGGGUACGACGACCCAUUAAUAUUAUUGGAA